rnacentral:hammerhead_ribozyme from 1 species
AUCCAGCUGACGAGUUCCAAAUUGGACGAGACACACGACCUGGAU